GCAUUUAGUAGCUUAAUUAAGCGAUAAGUUGUAAACUUAUAGAUAGUAGGUUUUUAUUCUUAGACUGCA
rnacentral:tRNA from 1 species